GCGGGCCAGGAACAGGACACUCUCGUCUGGCCUCCGCCAGGAACUGCUGUGGAAGAGAAUUCAGCGUUGCGGCAUUUGCUGAUGGCUCAGGAGGCCAGGGAAACGAGGGAGCAGGAACAGCGCGAUAUGGAUCGCAUCCAGAGUGGAUCUGAAGCUCAAGGCAGUGGCCAUGCACACCAGCAUGACGCCCAGAGCGCUUUAAAAGCAGUGCAUGAUGCCCUGAAACAAAGAUCCAACCUCGAGGGGCCCAUUCAGUCUUCUAAGGACCUGUCGGACCUGAGGGUGCGCCAUGCCCUCAUUGGAAGAUUAUACUGUUUCCGUGUCAGCCCCGAACACCAAACAGAGGGGUGACAAGCUGUGUUGGUGCAGAUUGUGGAUAUCCGGCCCAUCCUGGCUCAAGUAGGAAUGAAGACCUCUGGACCCAAGCCACUUCUGAUUGAUCGCCUGUGGUCAGCCAUCCUGGAGGAACGCUCAACAAGCCAACCUGGUGCACAGCACAG
rnacentral:lncRNA from 1 species